ACUCCUACGGGAGGCAGCAGUGGGGAAUUUUAGACAAUGGGCGAAAGCCUGAUCCAGCAAUGCCGCGUGAGUGAAGAAGGCCUUCGGGUUGUAAAGCUCUUUUGUCAGGGAAGAAACGGUGAAAGCUAAUAUCUUUUGCUAAUGACGGUACCUGAAGAAUAAGCACCGGCUAACUACGUGCCAGCAGCCGCGGUAAUACGUAGGGUGCAAGCGUUAAUCGGAAUUACUGGGCGUAAAGCGUGCGCAGGCGGUUUUGUAAGUCUGAUGUGAAAUCCCCGGGCUCAACCUGGGAAUUGCAUUGGAGACUGCAAGGCUAGAAUCUGGCAGAGGGGGGUAGAAUUCCACGUGUAGCAGUGAAAUGCGUAGAUAUGUGGAGGAACACCGAUGGCGAAGGCAGCCCCCUGGGUCAAGAUUGACGCUCAUGCACGAAAGCGUGGGGAGCAAACAGGAUUAGAAACCCCUGUAGUCCCAU
rnacentral:rRNA from 1 species